rnacentral:misc_RNA from 1 species
GGCUAAUCUUCUAAACAGGACUUCAAUAGUGGCAUUAAGUUGCUGGCUAAUCUACUCUAGCAAAUAAUCAAAACCUAACCUGAGUGAGUAAGAAAAAAAAUAAAAUGGAAGAAGAAGAAGGAGGAGGUAAGAAAAACAAAAGAGAAAAUGGUUUCAAAUCAUAGCCCAAUAAACAAAGGAUUUUAAGUGAAGCCAAAAUGUGCAUGUGAAAAACUAUAGUUCAGUAGACAGCAAAGCCUC